AACGAACGCUGGCGGCAGGCUUAACACAUGCAAGUCGAGCGAGACCUUCGGGUCUAGCGGCGGACGGGUGAGUAACGCGUGGGAACGUGCCCUUCUCUACGGAAUAGCUCCGGGAAACUGGGAGUAAUACCGUAUACGCCCUUUGGGGGAAAGAUUUAUCGGAGAAGGAUCGGCCCGCGUUGGAUUAGGUAGUUGGUGGGGUAAUGGCCCACCAAGCCGACGAUCCAUAGCUGGUUUGAGAGGAUGAUCAGCCACACUGGGACUGAGACACGGCCCAGACUCCUACGGGAGGCAGCAGUGGGGAAUCUUAGACAAUGGGGGCAACCCUGAUCUAGCCAUGCCGCGUGAGUGAUGAAGGCCUUAGGGUUGUAAAGCUCUUUCAGCUGGGAAGAUAAUGUCGGUACCAGCAGAAGAAGCCCCGGCUAACUCCGUG
rnacentral:rRNA from 1 species